rnacentral:rRNA from 1 species
AGUGAACGCUGGCGGUAGGCCUAACACAUGCAAGUCGAACGGCAGCACAGUAAGAGCUUGCUCUUACGGGUGGCGAGUGGCGGACGGGUGAGGAAUACAUCGGAAUCUACUUUUUCGUGGGGGAUAACGUAGGGAAACUUACGCUAAUACCGCAUACGACCUACGGGUGAAAGCAGGGGAUCUUCGGACCUUGCGCGAUUGAAUGAGCCGAUGUCGGAUUAGCUAGUUGGCGGGGUAAAGGCCCACCAAGGCGACGAUCCGUUGCUGGUCUGAGAGGAUGAUCAGCCACACGGGAACUGGGACACGGUCCAGACUCCUACGGGAGGCAGCAGUGGGGAAUGUUAGACAAUGGGCGCAAGCCUGAUCCAGCCAUACCGCGUGGGUGAAGAAGGCCUUCGGGUUGUAAAGCCCUUUUGUUGGGAAAGAAAAGCAGCAGGUUAAUACCCCGCUGUUCUGACGGUACCCAAAGAAUAAGCACCGGCUAACUUCGUG